GUGAGGAAUAUUGCGCAAUGGACGAAAGUCUGACGCAGCCAUGCCGCGUGAAGGAUUGACGGCCCUAUGGGUUGUAAACUUCUUUUGUAUAGGAAUAAACCCUCGUUCGUGAACGAGGCUGAAGGUACUAUAAGAAUAAGCACCGGCUAACUCCGUGCCAGCAGCCGCGGUAAUACGGAGGGUGCAAGCGUUAUCCGGAUAUAUUGGGUUUAAAGGGUCCGUAGGCGGAUCGUUAAGUCAGUGGUGCAAUCCUACCGCUCAACUGUAGAACUGCCAUUGAUACUGGCGAUCUUGAGUAUGUAUGAAGUUGGCGGAAUGUGUGGUGUAGCGGUGAAAUGCUUAGAUAUCACACAGAACACCGAUUGCGAAGGCAGCUGACUAAUACACAACUGACGCUGAGGGACGAAAGUGUGGGGAUCAAACAGGAUUAGAAACCCCAGUAGUCC
rnacentral:rRNA from 1 species